GUUAAACUUUUCUUUGCAACUUGCGAGUACAUUCCACGUACUCACCUGCACCUGUCAUGUGCAGAUCUCAACAGAUUAAGAGACAAUAGGGUUAUGGUCUACACUCAACGAUCCCAGUGGCAUUGAUGGAGCCCUAACUUAGCGACUACGUAUAAUUCCGCUGUAUUAUGUGCCAGCAUUGAGCUGUGCUAAUGCUAAGUUAUACAGACGAUCGGGGAGGUCAACUUUGAGCUGCAGCCCUCUAUGUGUUCACGCAAUUGGAACGCCCGAAAUAUCACGCCAAUAUGAGGGACGCCCGAAAUAUCAAGCCAAUAUGUGAUUUAUGCCUUUUCUGUUAGGGGAAGCCAUGGUGUCCACAAGGCUCAAGCAAGUCGGAUUUCUGAUGGAUUUUAAAUGAUCAAGACAACCUAAGUGGCUCUUUGCUUGGCCACCAUUGCCAAUAUUUAUGGAGCAGUUUUCAAAUGUGCAAAUGUCCAACCCAUUAAAACACCCUCUUAGGUUCAUAGGGAGAACCAGGCAACACCAGAAAACUGAAGCUUCCUACUUUCCAACUGUUGAUUGCACAUGUACAUGUAUAAAAGACACUAUCUAAGACAAAUAUAUGAUUCACCAGGUUUAGUGAAAGUUAGCUUAAAUACCAUGUAUUUUUCUGCACACAGAUUAUUGCCUACUGUAGAUCAUCCUCCGUACAUAUGUUAGUCUAAUAGUCAAGCAAGACCAAAAACUUCACUCCAGUAAUGCCUUUGCUCCAUAAGAGCUAACAAUUGUUAAAAAAAACAAAUCACAAACUAAUGAUUUCAUUUGUUUGCAGGAAUAGGCACUGUAUUUUUCACUAUUAUGCAAAAACAACUUUAAGUCAUGAUUUUUUAAAAUAUUUUUUUCAUGAAAGAUCUCGAGGGUGAGAAAAUUAUCAUCAUAUUCAGAAGAAUAUUAGCUUGAGUACCAUAUAGAGGGUGACAAAAGUGGGGCUCUUACGUCAAUUUUCUUAUUCAGGUGGUACACUACGUGUAGCAAACUCAUUCACUGUAAAGAAAUGAAUGGUAUCGUUUCUCAUGCCAUGGAAGUAUGGUCUGAAGUUGCCUUACUCUUAGGACUUUUUGUCAACAUCUAUGAGCUGACUAGCAAAAUUCUGGCAACUGCAGUCACAUCAGGCAUAAUACAACGCGUAGGGCCAUCACCUAGCUCCAUAAAUCUUAAUCUCAUUUCCAGUGAUUGUUGCUUUGCUAUCUUAGUCAUUGAUGAUGAAGGAAUGUAGAAACCACAUGUUGGGUACAAUAUUUAACCAUACAAUUUCUGCUAGAAGCCAUCAUAAUCCACGCCUCCCUCCUAUUUUUCUUACAGCAAACCAAUAGAUAUCAACUAACCACAAGCUUAGCCUGUGGUAUAUUGCAUAAAUAUCUAGCUUAUGGAAAGCCUGGUAAGUGGAGCAAUGGAGCAAAUGGAGCGCCUUCUAACUAGCAGUGCCCACUUCACUGUUCUGUACAUAGAUGAGAAGUCUGCUUGCUGCCACUCAUCUAAUAUUAUAUGUUUCUGUUCCAUGUGGAACUAAGAGGUCACAUAUCUAGCUUCUACUGCUUUGUUGUUGUACACAGAAGCUUUUGUAACCUGCCACCACAUUUGUAGGCAGGUUUCGAUAAAAGUAUUAGAUUACAUUUUUCCACAUCAAUCCAGUAUUCAGUAACGGGUUUUUGGUUCUAUUUCUAUUGCAAACCAGUUCAUUCUUCGCAAACAAGAAACUCUACAUGCUGUGG